UCCUACGGGAGGCAGCAGUAGGGAAUCUUCCGCAAUGGACGAAAGUCUGACGGAGCAACGCCGCGUGAGUGAUGAAGGCUUUCGGGUCGUAAAACUCUGUUGUUAGGGAAGAACAAGUGCUAGUUGAAUAAGCUGGCACCUUGACGGUGCCUAACCAGAAAGCCACGGCUAACUACGUGCCAGCAGCCGCGGUAAUACGUAGGUGGCAAGCGUUAUCCGGAAUUAUUGGGCGUAAAGCGCGCGCAGGUGGUUUCUUAAGUCUGAUGUGAAAGCCCACGGCUCAACCGUGGAGGGUCAUUGGAAACUGGGAGACUUGAGUGCAGAAGAGGAAAGUGGAAUUCCAUGUGUAGCGGUGAAAUGCGUAGAGAUAUGGAGGAACACCAGUGGCGAAGGCGACUUUCUGGUCUGUAACUGACACUGAGGCGCGAAAGCGUGGGGAGCAAACAGGAUUAGAUACCCUGGUAGUCCACGCCGUAAACGAUGAGUGCUAAGUGUUAGAGGGUUUCCGCCCUUUAGUGCUGAAGUUAACGCAUUAAGCACUCCGCCUGGGGAGUACGGCCGCAAGGCUGAAACUCAAAGGAAUUGACGGA
rnacentral:rRNA from 1 species